rnacentral:rRNA from 1 species
AAGUCGUAACAAGGUUUCCGUAGGUGAACCUGCGGAAGGAUCAUUAAAGAGUAUGGGUGCUCAGCGCCCGACCUCCAACCCUUUGUUGUUAAAACUACCUUGUUGCUUUGGCGGGACCGCUCGGUCUCGAGCCGCUGGGGAUUCGUCCCAGGCGAGCGCCCGCCAGAGUUAAACCAAACUCUUGUUAUUUAACCGGUCGUCUGAGCUAAAAUUUUGAAUAAAUCAAAACUUUCAACAACGGAUCUCUUGGUUCUCGCAUCGAUGAAGAACGCAGCGAAAUGCGAUAAGUAAUGUGAAUUGCAGAAUUCAGUGAAUCAUCGAAUCUUUGAACGCACAUUGCGCCCCUUGGUAUUCCGAGGGGCAUGCCUGUUCGAGCGUCAUUACACCACUCAAGCUAUGCUUGGUAUUGGGUGCCGACCUUAGUUGGGCGCGCCUCAAAGACCUCGGCGAGGCCUCACCGGCUUUAGGCGUAGUAGAAUUUAUUCGAACGUCUGUCAAAGGAGAGGACUUCUGCCGACUGAAACCUUUUAUUUUUCUAGGUUGACCUCGGAUCAGGUAGGGAUACCCGCUGAACUUAA